CUCCGUGACCAUUGGUUUUAGUUGCACUGUAACUACACGAGUUGAAAGAUUCAAUUAACUUUUCAGGUUGUAAUAUCAAAAAACACUGGUGCUUUGAGUAUAUAUCCAAUAUUUGAAAAUAUGUAAACAUGUUAUUAGAAUUUUUUUUAAUAUAUUUCAUUUUUACAGUAUCCUCCCUGAAAUAUAGUUUUUCUGCUCUUGAUUUUAAAAACCUUGUUUUUGAUUUUAAUUUGUUGAAAUCUUACUGAAUUCUUUACCAAACAAAUGUGUACCAAAGCACUGUCAAUUUUGCUGUGAAAAAACAAACUAAAUCUCACACCGCAAUUAACAUUGUCAAAUGCUACAAUCUUACAGUAGAGAACAAUCCUAUAACAGAUUGAACAAAUUAGAUAUUUAUUUAGGCACUUACAUGAACAAAAGUUACAUUACUACAGGUUAUCAUCACACUUUUUUAGGCGUUUAGUUAAAAGAAGUGGAUUUGUAAUAACCUGUGACCUUCGCCCUAAUUACACAUCGGGACUCAGUCGUGUAGUUUGGGACCAGUUGUUGAUGGGUGUAUUGUAAAACCUAAAAAAAAUUUUAAAAAAAGGCAAGUGUGACCCCUUACCUUAUUCAUUCUUGUCUGCAAUAGGUUACAUGUUCCUUUCCUUCACAUCUGCUGUCCAGUAGAUGCAGUCAUGUGAGAAUGUUGCGAUUGUAGUAAUAUGAAUCCUAUCAGACCAAAAAGAGACUGCACCUCCAGUUGUUUAUAGCUUAUUUUGUGGAUGUCACAGUUGUAUUAGCAAUUUAGUUUUUGAGAGCUGCUGUACAAUUUAAGUUAUGUUACCCAACAUAUAAUAUUGUGCAAGCUUAUACUGUUCAGAAGUUUAGCUGAAAAUGGAUUGCAAAUUACUUGCUCAUAAUGGUUUGUUAUUUGUUGUUUUAAAAAAUGGGAACCUGUAUUUAUGUCUGUUUGAUUUUCAGAUCUUUUUUUUUUAUAUAAAAAUUUUCAGUAGUAAAUAUUUACCAGAAGACAAAGAAAGUAAUAAGUUAUGGGCAAUACUGGGGGAAAAAAGUCAGAAUUAUUAUUGUUAUUAUUGCAAUGCUACACUUGGUGAAUAAACUUCACUUUUGACUUA